rnacentral:rRNA from 1 species
GUAGGGAAUAUUGCGCAAUGGGGGAAACCCUGACGCAGCGACGCCGCGUGAGUGAUGAAGGCCUUCGGGUCGUAAAGCUCUGUUGCAGGGGAAUAAAAAAAUGAAGGUACCCUGUGAGGAAGGAUCGGCUAACUUCGUGCCAGCAGCCGCGGUAAGACGAGGGAUCCUAGCGUUGCUCGGAGUCAUUGGGCGUAAAGAGGGCGUAGGUGGCUUGGUAAGUCAGGUGUGAAAGCCCAGGGCUCAACCCUGGAAGUGCAUUUGAUACUGCUGAGCUUGAGUGUCGGAGAGGUUACCGGAAUACCUGGUGUAGUGGUGAAAUACGUAGAUAUCAGGUGGAACACCGGAGGCGAAGGCGGGUAACUGGACGAACACUGACACUGAGGCCCGAAAGCGUGGGGAUCAAACAGGAUUAGAUACCCGAGUAGUCC